UGAUCUUGUUUAGGCCAUCAUCCCAUUAUGCUCAGUCCAUGGAUAAAUAUAACAGGAUGAUGGCCUAAACAAGACCA
ensembl:miRNA